rnacentral:rRNA from 1 species
UGAGUAACCUGCCCUUAACUCUGGGAUAAGCCUGGGAAACUGGGUCUAAUACCGGAUAUGACUCCUCAUCGCAUGGUGGGGGGUGGAAAGCUUUAUUGUGGUUUUGGAUGGACUCGCGGCCUAUCAGCUUGUUGGUGGGGUAAUGGCCUACCAAGGCGACGACGGGUAGCCGGCCUGAGAGGGUGACCGGCCACACUGGGACUGAGACACGGCCCAGACUCCUACGGGAGCAG